rnacentral:rRNA from 1 species
AUUGAACGCUGGCGGCAGGCCUAACACAUGCAAGUCGAGCGGCAGCGGGAAAGUAGCUUGCUACUUUUGCCGGCGAGCGGCGGACGGGUGAGUAAUGCCUGGGAAAUUGCCCAGUCGAGGGGGAUAACAGUUGGAAACGACUGCUAAUACCGCAUACGCCCUACGGGGGAAAGCAGGGGACCUUCGGGCCUUGCGCGAUUGGAUAUGCCCAGGUUGGAUUAGCUAGUUGGUGAGGUAAUGGCUCAACAAGGCGACGAUCCCUAGCUGGGCUGGUAGGAUGAUGAGCCACACUGGAACUGAGACAUGGUCCAGACUCAUACGGGAGGCAGCAGUGGGGAAUAGUGCACAAUGGGGGAAACCCUGAUGCAGCCAUGCCGCGUGUGUGAAGAAGGCCUUCGGGUUGUAAAGCACUUUCAGCGAGGAGGAAAGGUUGAUGCCUAAUAACUGCCAGCUGUGACGUUACUCGCAGAAGAAGCACCGGCUAACUCCGUGCCAGCCGCCGCGGUAACAC